rnacentral:rRNA from 1 species
GACGAACGCUGGCGGCGUGCUUAACACAUGCAAGUCGAACGGAAAGGCCCUGCUUUUGUGGGGUGCUCGAGUGGCGAACGGAUGAGUAACACGUGAGUAACCUGCCCUUGACUUUGGGAUAACUUCAGGAAACUGGGGCUAAUACCGGAUAGGAGCUCCUGCUGCAUGGUGGGGGUUGGAAAGUUUCGGCGGUUGGGGAUGGACUCGCGGCUUAUCAGCUUGUUGGUGGGGUAGUGGCUUACCAAGGCUUUGACGGGUAGCCGGCCUGAGAGGGUGACCGGCCACAUUGGGACUGAGAUACGGCCCAGACUCCUACGGGAGGCGGCAGUGGGGAAUAUUGCACAAUGGGCGGAAGCCUGAUGCAGCAACGCCGCGUGCGGGAUGACGGCCUUCGGGUUGUAAACCGCUUUCGCCUGUGACGAAGCGUGAGUGACGGUAAUGGGUAAAGAAGCACCGGCUAACUACGUG